GUCAACCUGGACAUUCUUUAUGUAGUACCCUACUCCAGAGAGUGGCAAUCAUUUGUAAUUAUAUGUGAUUGACACCUCUGUGAGUGGAGUAAUGCAUGACAUGUACGACACAGAUGAU
rnacentral:precursor_RNA from 12 species